AUAUAACUAAGCGGAGGAAAAGAAACUAACUAGGAUUCCCUCAGUAACGGCGAGUGAAGCGGGAAAAGCGCAGACUGAAAACCUUCGGGGAUGUAGUCUGGAGAUGGGAAACCGAAUCUCAGGAAACCGAUAAAGUGGUCUGGAACGACACGCCGUGGAGGGUGAUAGCCCCGUUCGUAUCGGUGGAAAGAGGAAGUAGGUUCUUAUCAACGAGUCGAGUUGUUUGGGAUUGCAGCUCAAAGCGGGAGGUAAAUUCCUUCCAACGCUAAAUACGGAUAGGAGACCGAUAGCGCACAAGUA
rnacentral:rRNA from 1 species